AAUACGGUAUAAUCAUGGCACAGUUAGAUAGGUUCAUACAAUUGCCUGAGUUUCGAAAUGUUUCCUAAACUCUUCACUCUCCUCUUCGUAGUUUUGGCUCUUAUGGCUACUGCCAUGGCUGGAGUCCACAAAGUACGAUAUGACCAAGAACCUCAAGAGAAACGAAUGGGAAUUUUGGGUGGUAUCAAGGAAAUGGCUGAUGAUGUACUCAGUACUGCUGGAGUUCACAACCAAUAAUUUGAUUGCUAAUUGUUGAAAUUUAAGCCGUAAAAAUGGGCUUUACAAAAAAAAAGAAAAAAAAAGAAAUUAACAACGUAAUGUAAUCAAAAAAGCUUAAAAUUAAAACUAAUUCAAGCCCUUUUGUUUAAUGUUUGUCCAGCUUGCAUUAUACUUACCACUCAUUAUAUAAACCAUUAUUUUGGAUAAUAUUGUGAAAUUAAAUAAAGUAUAUUUAUUUGUAAA